rnacentral:ncRNA from 2 species
GGGCGUCACCGGGGGUGCCCUCUUAUGGGGCUGAGAGAUACCCUUGGAACCUGAUCCGGGUAAUGCCGGCGUAGGGAAGGUGACCAAGGCCCCUC